rnacentral:rRNA from 1 species
UGGUGAGCGCCCGCCAGAGGACCCCAAACUCUGAAAUUUAGUGUCGUCUGAGUACUAUAUAAUAGUUAAAACUUUCAACAACGGAUCUCUUGGUUCUGGCAUCGAUGAAGAACGCAGCGAAAUGCGAUAAGUAAUGUGAAUUGCAGAAUUCAGUGAAUCAUCGAAUCUUUGAACGCACAUUGCGCCCCUUGGUAUUCCGGGGGGCAUGCCUGUUCGAGCGUCAUUACAACCCUCAAGCUCUGCUUGGUAUUGGGCGUCCCCGGCGACGGGGUGCCCUAAAAUCAGUGGCGGUGCCGUCUGGCUCUAAGCGUAGUAAAUCUCUCGCUCUGGAUGCCCGGUGGAUGCUCGCCAGAACCCCCCAUUUUUUACAGGUUGACCUCGGAUCAGGUAGGGAUACCCGCUGAACUUAAGCAUAUCAUAAGGCCGGAAGAAAGAUUC